GAGAAACAGCACUCUCCUUAGCUUCGCCACAGAGCAAUCAGUCAUUGCUACACGGCUGAUCCUCCAAUGCUGCAGUAACCACAGAAACCACACAGAGCUUGGACUGAGCACGUGGUUACGGACACAAUCAUCAUUUUUAACACAGAGAGAUGAAGUCACUCAAUCUUCUCUCGGAUGAAAAUAAAAUAUUGAAAUACAACUUUGGAAAUAAACGUUCUUCCUCCCAAUGGAGAAACGUGUGCUGUGAAGACAAGACUCCAUUUUAAGUCCCUGAGUAAGGGACAAGAAGACCAAUGGGACGGAUUCCUGAGAAGCCAUUAAAAAUUGGAGUGCUCCAACCUCAGAGAAGAAUCAGAUUCUCUUGCCAACAGUCCACAGCCCAACCAUCAAACAGGAAUAGAGAUGGUGAUCAUCCCACAAAGAAGUCAGCAGCUCCUGGAAGUGCCUGGAAUAAUGAGACUCCCAUGCACCCUCCCACUCCAUUUUCCAUUCUAGAAACAUUCUAUUUCAAUGCGCUCUCCUCCUUUUCAUACUUAUUUUCCAUCUGGGCACCCAUCCAGACAUUAAAAUUCAUAUCUUCCUUGAAGAAAUCUCCAUCACGAAGCUAUCAUUACCCUUGGCUCCAGCAUAGAUAAGUCUCAGAUAUGUGGUUCAGAAGUACCCCAGAGGGAGCUGGGAGGUGGAGGGAAAGCUGAAAGUGUAAUAAACAGAAUAUAUUCAGCAAGGUUUUCCCCAUGUUGGGUCCAUCUGAUUCAGGAAUGCCUCAUGAUCAUUACCAAACCCAGGGAUGAUUUGAGACAGAUGUAUUUAAGGAGUUCUGUCUUUUUUCCUCUUUCUCAAGUUGCCCUUAGUCACCCUGAAAUCAUGACCAGCUUUUUUAGUACAAAAAGGAAACUCCUACAGGCCAAGGAAUGAACUCAUCUGUUCAUCAAUGGAUCCAAGUUCAGGUCCUGUUUCCUGCAUGACUUCUGCAUAUCCUUGCUUUUCAGAGCAGAUACUACUCACAGGGAGCUCAGAAAAGGAAAAUGUACAUGUGACACAGUGAAAAGACAGACCUGGCUCCAACAGUUCUUCACACCAAGAAUAUCCAAAGACAGUCUUUUGGUUUGCAGCUGUAGCCAAGAUAGUGAUGUUCAGAACAUCCUUUUCCAAAUUCACAUUGUUCUGAAUCUGAACUAAUAGAUCAUAAAGUCCCUGAGGGUUAUGUCUUUAAUUAAUUCAGUAUUUAUUGAGUAAUACUAUAUACCAAGCAUUGUACUUAUUUGUCUUUGUAACACCAGUCUUAGUCAUAAUAAGCAUACAAUGAGUGUUUGCUUGUUUGUUUGUUUUGAUGGUUGUUUUCCCAACUAGAAUGCAAGCACUAAGUAGUCAUGGACUUGAACCUGACAUAUCCUGGGUGCUUAAAACACUUUUUUUGAAGUGAUAGAUUAAUUAAUUAAUGAAUGAGUGAAUAAAGUAGUCAACUCACACCAAAAAGUUGUAGCUGACAGUGAUAGGAAGUGGUAUGUUU
rnacentral:lncRNA from 1 species